AUUGAACGCUGGCGGCAGGCUUAACACAUGCAAGUCGAGCGGGGAAAGGUAGCUUGCUACCUGACCUAGCGGCGGACGGGUGAGUAAUGCUUAGGAAUCUGCCUAUUAGUGGGGGACAACAUUCCGAAAGGAAUGCUAAUACCGCAUACGCCCUACGGGGGAAAGCAGGGGAUCUUCGGACCUUGCGCUAAUAGAUGAGCCUAAGUCAGAUUAGCUAGUUGGUGGGGUAAAGGCCUACCAAGGCGACGAUCUGUAGCGGGUCUGAGAGGAUGGUCCGCCACACUGGGACUGAGACACGGCCCAGACUCCUACGGGAGGCAGCAGUGGGGAAUAUUGGACAACGGGCGAAAGCCUGAUCCAGCCAUGCCGCGUGUGUGAAGAAAGCCUUUUGGUUGUAAAGCACUUUAAGCGAGGAGGAGGCUACCGAGAUUAAUACUCUUGGAUAGUGGACGUUACUCGCAGAAUAAGCACCGGCUAACUCUGUGCCAGCAGCCGCCGUAAGAC
rnacentral:rRNA from 1 species